GAAUUUCCUUGCACAAAGAGGAAAUACGAAGAACUGGCUCUUAUUCCACGAAAUCCUACAGUCCCCGUGACAGUCAUAUCCCCCUCAAUGAAGAAAAUGAACUCCUCUGUGAGGCACAGGAGCUUUUCGGU